UUAUUACGUUACUAAUAAACACUAUCAAAAUUUUCAAAAAUAUUUUGAAAGAAUGUUGUUUCUUUUGUAACAAGUCUAGACACGUGAAGAAAGAAUUUGGCAAGUAUCGCGGCUGGCAUGCAAAGAAAUGUUUAAUUCUUACUUUGGUUGUCUGAGCUACCGAAAGCCAAGUGAUGGUGAAAGACACAUCUUCGUGGGCGAUAGAAAAUCGAUGGAAGUGAAAGCAAUUGGACAUUUUAGAUUGUUAUUAGGAUCUAGUUUUUACUCGGAUUUAAAAGACAUUUUUGUUAAACUGUCUUUUAAAUGGAAUUUAGUCUCUGUUUCUUUGUUGGAAAAAUUUUGAUAUUGUUGUUCAUUUGGAAACAAUAAGUUUAGUUUGUCUUUAAAUUUGAAUGUUGUUGGAACUAGUUAUUUAAGUGAUUAUGGCAA